UAGCCGUAAACGAUACUCGCUAGGUGUCGGCCACGGUGCGACCGUUGUCGGUGCCGUAGGGAAGCCGUGAAGCGAGCCACCUGGGAAGUACGGCCGCAAGGCUGAAACUUAAAGGAAUUGGCGGGGGAGCACCACAACGGGUGGAGCUUGCGGUUUAAUUGGAUUCAACGCCGGGAAUCUCACCGGAUAAGACAGCUGAAUGAUAGUCGGGAUGAAGACUCUACUUGACUAGCUGAGAGGAGGUGCAUGGCGUAGUCGUGU
rnacentral:rRNA from 1 species